GGGCCCUCUCAUAUUCCCCCGUGUCCCGGGGAUGCUCGUAGGUCACAGCCCAAUAGAUGACGUAGGUCACAAGACAACGUAGUUCAUGGUCUUGUUGAUGAGGAUAGUGGGGAGGAAUCGGAUCAUGUCUCUAACACCCAACAAAGUAGUUUAUGGUUGUUUAACUUUACGAUGUUUAAGUGUUUGAAUGUAGUUUUAAGGAUAUUUAGAAGUACUUUAAAUUGAAACUUGAGGUUGAAUUUGAUUUUAGAAUGUGAAGUUUAUGAUUGUAGAAGUACUUUGAUGAAUUGGACGUGUUGAUGAAUUGCAUUGUUGAUUUGGUUGA